rnacentral:lncRNA from 1 species
AUAGAAACUUCUGGCCUCUGGACACUGUGGGAGCAACUUUUCCUUUAUUAGACUGUCUCCUCUUUAACUGUACCUAGAAGAUACUUUAGCACAGCAAGCAUCUCUUUUAUGCUUACAUUAUGCAGUUAUGCAGACUUGGUGAGAUAGACCAGUGCAAUGGACCUCAUAACCACAUACAAUCUAGUUUUAUGGGGAAACUCCUUGUAUAAAAGAAUAUUGCAGCAUGACUGGGAAGCCUGUCCUUCAUUACUUCAAUUGAAGAAGAAGAAUGGAGUCCAUCCGGUGGCUCCUGGCAGCAGCUGGAGUAGAGUUUGAGGAAGAACUUUUUGAAACCCAUGAAGAGUUUGAGAAGUUAAUCCAAGGUGGAACCCUGAUGUACGAGCAAGUGCCCAUGGUGGAAAUCGAUGGAAUGACUUUGGUGCAGACCAGUGCCAUCUUAAGAUAUGUAGCUGCAAAAUAUGACUUGUAUGGAAGGAACCUGGAGGAACAAGCCUGAGAAGGAGAUGAACCUUGAAUACAUCCUCCACCGAGCUACAACAAGAUUCUUCCCCGUUUAUGAGAAGGCCCUGAGAGACCACGGGCAAGACUUUCUUGUGGGCAAUCGGCUGAGCUUGGCUGAUGUCCAGCUCCUUGAAGUCAUCUUAAUGGCUGAAGAAUGCAAAGCCAGUGUUCUCUCGGGUUUCCCUCUGCUACAGGACUUCAAGGUGAGAACCAGCCAAAUUCCUACAAUUAACAGCUUCCUCCAACCUGGAAGCCAGAGGAAGCCUCCUUUGGAGGAGCGAUCCAUUGGGACUGCAAAGGACAUAUUCAAAUUUGAAUGAGGACUGUUUCUUAAAAACAUGAGCAAUAUAGUAGCUGAGUAUUAACAGCUACAGAGGCUGGAGUUACUCAGUAAGUAUACUGAGUAACUUGACACUGCAUUCAUAAAAAGACACUCACUAAGUAUAUGGCCAGAGAAAUAUCCUGAAGUUAGUAAUAAAUGUUAGGAAUCUUAGUAUGUUAGCAAUGUUAGAAUGUUAGUAAUGGAAAUAUUAAAUGUGUAAGAGAAAAACUACUAGAAGCUUAUCAAUAAACUACAAGAACCAACUCUUGUUUGAAGUAAGACAGGCUACCAAGACAGAAUUCAGAAAAUCCAAGGAGCCCUCGGCCUUCUGUAUGAUCCUAGAAUAAACUUGUAUGUAGCAAGUGAAA